rnacentral:ncRNA from 1 species
CGUCCGGUGGAUUGCGACGGGCAGGAAGGCAGGCAUUGGCCGGCCUUCCUGCCCGCUUUCGGUUGCCGCUGACGGGAACACGUCA